UACGGAGGGGGCUAGCGUUGUUCGGAAUUACUGGGCGUAAAGCGCACGUAGGCGGCUUUGUAAGUUAGAGGUGAAAGCCCAGGGCUUAACCCUGGAAUUGCCUUUAAGACUGCAUCGCUAGAAUCGUGGAGAGGUGAGUGGAAUUUCGAGUGUAGAGGUGAAAUUCGUAGAUAUUCGGAAGAACACCAGUGGCGAAGGCGACUCACUGGACACGUAUUGACGCUGAGGUGCGAAAGCGUGGGGAGCAAACAGG
rnacentral:rRNA from 1 species